CGGCGGUUCUAUUUUGUUGGUUUCUAGAGCCACCGUAAUGAUUAAUAGGGAUAGUCGGGGGCAUCAGUAUUCAAUUGUCAGAGGUGAAAUUCUUGGAUUUAUUGAAGACUAACUACUGCGAAAGCAUUUGCCAAGGAUGUUUUCAUUAAUCAGUGAACGAAAGUUAGGGGAUCGAAGACGAUCAGAUACCGUCGUAGUCUUAACCAUAAACUAUGCCGACUAGGGAUCGGGCGGUGUUCAAUUUAUGACCCGCUCGGCACCUUACGAGAAAUCAAAGUUUUUGGGUUCUGGGGGGAGUAUGGUCGCAAGGCUGAAACUUAAAGGAAUUGACGGAAGGGCACCACCAGAUGUGGAGCCUGCGGCUUAAUUUGACUCAACACGGGAAAUCUCACCAGGUCCAGACACAUUAAGGAUUGACAGAUUGAGAGCUCUUUCUUGAUUAUGUGGGUGGUGGUGCAUGGCCGUUCUUAGUUGGUGGAGUGAUUUGUCUGCUUAAUUGCGAUAACGAACGAGACCUUAACCUGCUAAAUAGCCAGGCUAUCUUUUGAUGGUCGCCGGCUUCUUAGAGGGACUAUCGGCUCAAGCCGAUGGAAGUUUGAGGCAAUAACAGGUCUGUGAUGCCCUUAGAUGUUCUGGGCCGCACGCGCGCUACACUGACAGAGCCAACGAGUAUAAACCUUAACCGAAAGGUUUGGGUAAUCUUGUUAAACUCUGUCGUGC
rnacentral:rRNA from 1 species